GACCAGCGCGCCCUGGACCUUCUGCUGCAGGUGGUGGGGGAAGACCGAGUGGUGCUGGGUUCAGACUACCCAUUCCCACUGGGGGAACACGUCCCAGGACAGCUGGUGCGCCAGUCGUCCCUUCCUCAAGAUGUGAAGAGCAAAAUACUCUUCACGAACGCGAUGGACUUCCUUGGCCUAGACUCUAGCAUGUACACUUGAGUUAUGCUCUAACCACGUAAGAGCGACUCUCAUCAAUUGUCGUACAACCUUUCAAAGACUUUAAUAACUCAUCCUUGAAUUCAUUGCAUGAAUAGUCUGUUGCGCAACAAUUCAGGGAAAGUUCAUUUAAAUUUUGCUGUUUUAUUCGUUUAUUCUGAGGUUUUUGGUAAUUUUUUAUAUCGCUCUGUGCAUAGCGAAAUGUUCAGGUGGAAUUUUUUCGCAGCUUAAAUAUCAACAAAUUCGUUAUCCUGUUUAUCCAUUUGGUUGUAGUCAUUUUUUGAGUGAAGUACUUGUUCCGAAUUUGUUUGAGUCAUCAUUUUUGAAAUUUUUACUAGCAUUACAGAUAUGCGUGUGAUAAAGUGAAUAGACAGGGCACUAAACCGGUGAUAGGCGGAUAAUUAGGUUCAAUAAGUAGAUGCUUGAGGGUUUAGUUAAGAUUGAAUGAGGUAGAGGAGGCUUGAUGGAUUUUCAUUUUCAAGAGGAUAUUAGUGAUGGGUUCAUCUAUUUACGUUACAUACGGUUUGGUGAGCAUUUUCUGGGAGGGGAAAAUGUUGUGUUCUCUCUUAAAUAUGAUUUUCUAAUAAAUGUUAAAGAGAU